UACGUAGGGUGCGAGCGUUAAUCGGAAUUACUGGGCUUAAAGCGUGCGCAGGCGGUCAUGAAAGUCAGAAGUGAAAUCCCCGGGCUUAACCCGGGAAUUGCUUUUGAAACUCCAUGACUAGAAUACCGGAGAGGUUAGCAGAAUUCCGAGUGUAGAGGUGAAAUUCGCAGAUAUUCGGAGGAAUACCAAUGGCGAAGGCAGCUAACUGGACGGUAAUUGACGCUCAGGCACGAAAGCGUGGGUAGCAAACAGG
rnacentral:rRNA from 1 species